UAGGGAAUCUUCGGCAAUGGACGAAAGUCUGACCGAGCAACGCCGCGUGAGUGAAGAAGGUUUUCGGAUCGUAAAACUCUGUUGUUAGAGAAGAACAAGGACGUUAGUAACUGAACGUCCCCUGACGGUAUCUAACCAGAAAGCGACGGCUAACUACGUGCCAGCAGCCGCGGUAAUACGUAGGUGGCAAGCGUUGUCCGGAUUUAUUGGGCGUAAAGCGAGCGCAGGCGGUUUCUUAAGUCUGAUGUGAAAGCCCCGGGCUCAACCGGGGAGGGUCAUUGGAAACUGGGAGACUUGAGUGCAGAAGAGGAGAGUGGAAUUCCAUGUGUAGCGGUGAAAUGCGUAGAUAUAUGGAGGAACACCAGUGGCGAAGGCAGCUCUCUGGUCUGUAACUGACGCUGAGGCUCGAAAGCGUGGGGAGCAAACAGG
rnacentral:rRNA from 1 species